rnacentral:rRNA from 1 species
UACGUAGGGGGCAAGCGUUGUUCGGAAUUACUGGGCGUAAAGGGCGCGUAGGCGGUACAGCAAGUCGGGAGUGAAAGCCCGGGGCUCAACCCCGGAAUGGCUUUCGAAACUGCUGAGCUAGAGUACAGAAGGGGCAACCGGAAUUCCCAGUGUAGCGGUGAAAUGCGUAGAUAUUGGGAAGAACACCUGAGGCGAAGGCGGGUUGCUGGGCUGAUACUGACGCUGAGGCGCGAAAGCCAGGGGAGCAAACGGG